rnacentral:tmRNA from 1 species
CAUAUUGAAAAAAACUGAAAGCGAUAGUACAAUCUAGACCGUUAGAAGUAUUUUUAACUACGGCAAUAAACGAUUCGCGUAAUAAACAUUAUGGACCCGGGGGCGGUACCCGGCGCUUCCACCAGUAGAUGUAUUCGUCAUAUAAAUUAUGGGAGCGAAAUAGGUUCGACAUAUGGGCUAAAGGCGUAUUUUUUGCUCGGCAUUGUACCACCGUUAUCGGGCAAUUUUAAUAAAUGCCAAUAAAAAUAAUAGGCGUAGAAGAACAGCUCAACUUAACAGAAAAGCUGUAGCAAAAAAGGCUUCUUAAUUAUCCUUUAUAGGGAUUAGGUUCGCACUUUUUGUGUAUCUUCAGUAAGCGGUUUUGUGGGGCCCCGGGCAACAGAAUGCCUCACA